UAACGCGUGUCACUCUAUUUCUCCACUUCUCUCCUCGGUGCUCACCUCGCGUUCUCUCUCUCUCUCUCCUGAUUUCAGAACUGAAUUCAAUUCGCCUCUACUUCUGUUCUUCGACUACUCGCCACCAUCAACACUGCCAUAGGACCAUUCUAUAGAUAUUGAAACCUUAGCCCCAACCUGAAUUGCUCAAGGACGAGGGCUCGCUUUCGCCAUGGUGAGAUGAAGAGAUCGAUCCCAGAUUGUUUCUUAUCCUCCUCUCUGCCAUGAUUUUAGCCUCCAUCUCCUUGCAUGAUACACACGUAUCCCAUUCUCUCCUUUCUUCCCGCUCUCCCCAUCUUGUCUAUCUAUUUUGCCACCGCUGCUUUCUCUUCAUUUCUCUCCCUCUUUUUCUUUAUCCAUCCUUCCUCUCCCUCGUCUGAGAAUUCAUGGAAGCUGCUCUAGAGCCUUCAGCCUCUACUUUCCCUCUUUUUAAUGGCGUGUUUGGUGAUUUAUUAUUUGAAUGGGGUUUAUCUCCAUAGUGAAAACGGUAACGGCACUGGUGUCGUUACCGUCUCUAUUUCUGGGUGAAGAUAAAAUUUCAGUGGCUCUGCUUCCCGUCUCUAUUUCUGCUCAAGAGCAUGUCUGGUCACACAAGUCCAGUUGAAUGUGUAGCUUUUGAUUCAACGGAGGUUUUGGUGGUUACAGGAGCUUCUACUGGUGCAAUAAAGCUGUGGGAUUUGGAGGAAGCAAAGAUCGUUCGCACCCUUACUGGACACAGAAUUAAUUGCACUGCCAUUGAAUUCCAUCCAUUUGGCCUAUGAAAUUAGAUCUACUAAACAAUCAUUGAAUGGUUACCUGGUUCUUUCUUCUCCCUCACACAAUUGCUAAAUACAUUUUCACAGGGAUUUCAUUUAUUACCUUGUCUCAUCCUCAGCUUCUCUGUCUUUUACUAUGAGAUUAUGAAUGCCCCGAAAAGGAGAACAACUUGCACCUAGGAAUUGUUGCUAGCAACAGAUUGGUGGAGCCAUGGAAGAAGGGAUCCAAUAGUCUAGGUCAAGUGUGGAUUGGGAAAGUGAAAUACCAUGUACCCAAGCAAGAAAUGGUCAACCAGAUGGGCAAACAUUAAUUUUGAAAUCAUUGGAGUUAUUCACUAUUUAGUUAGACAUCACAUCUCCUAAUUGGAAACCUUUCUUCUUUUUCCACUGAACAAUCUCUUUAUCCUUCAGAAAUUUGUAUUGAUCUUAUUAAAGGAACACCUCUUUAUAUAUAAACUAAUUUCUCUUUAUUCUGUAUUGUUUCUAUUACUGAGAAUCAAGAAAGAACAACAGAAACAGAGUUUCUGUAUUGUGAUUGUGAUUGAUGCACCAACCACACAGGUCCAAGUGGAAAAUUACUAAAUGGAAAAGGAAAACCGAGUUUCUUGAAAGAGGAACAGAAACAUCACAAGUCAAGAAGCUUUUCUUUCUUCCCCUGUUCAACAGUAAUUCUUACCAGUUUAAAUCUUCUCAAGAGCUUCAAACAGAGACCUCUUACGUUUUUCUAUAAACCACUGAAUUCAAAACAACACAGAAACCACAGCCAGUAAAUAAAAGAACCAGGUAGGCUACUAAAGUGAAACAACACUUGGCCAAUAAGGUUUGCCAAAUUGUUAUUUUUUUAUAUGUAUUGCCAAAUUAUCUUCAUUCUUAUGGGUUGUAUUUGCUUGCGAUGAUAACUCUAAUGUGUGGCUCAUAUUUGGUUAUCUGCUUGGGCUUGGUUCAUGCUUCUAUUGAUAACUCUAAUGAAGUAUAUAUAACUGAUGGAUAUGUACAUCAUUGAACAACUUGUAUUUCUUGGUGAUUAAUUUUGCAUCUUAUAUUUCAGAAUUUACUAUCUUGAUUUUGAAACCAAUAUGCAGAUGAUGAAAGGGAACAUUUGGGUAAUUCCAAAUAAUAAGGAUUUUGCACAAAGCAUGAGACCUUAAGUUUCAACUCCAACCAUCUAUAGGAGGGGGCAUCUUUGAACCAGGUGGAUCAUCAGAGCAGCUAGCUACCUUCAGAAUUCAGAGGCCUUCAAGUUAUAUUAGCUGAUUAUGAUGACAUCAAUGGGGCUGUGAAACGAAAGCUCCUUGAGAAGCUCGGUUGUCAAGUUACUGUUGUUUCCUCUGGGUUUAAAUGCAUUAGACUUGGGCCCUCUGGAACUUCAUUUCACAUCAUUCUUUUGGACCUCAAUGUGCCCGAGAUGGAUGGCUUUGAAGUUGCGUUUUAUUUUAGAGGUUAUUUUAAAUCAUUUUUAUUUUUCCAUUAAGAUUUGUUCAAACUGGUUGUACUUAGAUAUCUUACCAUGUAUGGCCCGGAACAUGAUACGAUUUAUUCUAUAAUAAAGUUGGUUGAUGUAAUGAUGUUUAUGGGAAA